rnacentral:rRNA from 1 species
GACGAACGCUGGCGGCGUGCUUAACACAUUCCAGUCGAACGGAAAGGCCCUGCUUUUGUGGGGUGCUCGAGUGGCGAACGCGUGAGUAACACGUGUGUAACCCGCCCCUGACUUUGGGAUAACUUCUGGAAACUUGGGCUAAUACCGGAUAGGAUCUCUUGCUGCAUGUUGGGGGUUGGAAAGUUACGGUGUUUGGGGCUGUACUCGCGGCUUACCAGCUUGUUGGUGAAGUAGUGGCUUACCAAGGGUUUGACGGAUAGCCGGCCUGAGAGGGUGGACGGCAGCAAGGGGACUAAGAUACGGCCCAGUGUCAAACGGGGGGCAGCAGUCGGGAACAUUACGGAAUGGACAGAAGCCUGAGGCAGAGACGACGGGUGCGGGAAGACGUGCUUCGGGUUGUAAACCGAUUUCGCCUGUGACGGAGAGUGAGUGAAGGUAAUGGGUAAAGAAGCAACGGCUAACUACGUG